GAUGAAGAACGUAGCGAAAUGCGAUAAGUAGUGUGAAUUGCAGAAUUCAGUGAAUCAUCGAAUCUUUGAACGCACAUUGCGCCCCUUGGUAUUCCAUGGGGCAUGCCUGUUCGAGCGUCAUUUGUACCCUCAAGCUUUGCUUGGUGUUGGGUGUUUGUCCCGCGUUGCGCGUGGACUCGCCUUAAAGCGAUUGGCAGCCGGCAUAUUGGCCUUGGAGCGCAGCACAUUUUGCGCUUCUAGUCAUGAAUGUUGGCGUCCAUUAAGCCUAUACAUUUGCUCUUGACCUCGGAUCAGGUAGGGAUCCCCGCUGAACUUAAGCAUAUCAAUAAGCGGAGGA
rnacentral:misc_RNA from 1 species